rnacentral:rRNA from 1 species
GACGAACGCUGGCGGCGUGCUUAACACAUGCAAGUCGAACGGAAAGGCCCUGCUUUUGUGGGGUGCUCGAGUGGCGAACGGGUGAGUAACACGUGAGUAACCUGCCCUUGACUUUGGGAUAACUUCAGGAAACUGGGGCUAAUACCGGAUAGGAGCUCCUGCUGCAUGGUGGGGGUUGGAAAGUUUCGGCGGUUGGGGAUGGACUCGCGGCUUAUCAGCUUGUUGGUGGGGUAGUGGCUUACCAAGGCUUUGACGGGUAGCCGGCCUGAGAGGGUGACCGGCCAAAUUGGGACUGAGAUACGGCCCAGACUCCUACGGGAGGCAGCAGGGGGGAAUAUUGCACAAUGGGCGGAAGCCUGAUGCAGCAACGCCGCGUGCGGGAUGACGGCCUUCGGGUUGUAAACCGCUUUCGCCUGUGACGAAGCGUGAGUGACGAUAAUGGGUAAAGAAGCACCGGCUAACUACGUG